GAAGAACUGCCCCCUCAUCUGCAGGAAGAGCCUCCUGAAGUUGGGUAGCAUCAUUUAAAAAAAGAACAACAAAAACCCUGCAACAGCUUUGAUAAUCUGCAGUAAAGAACAGGAUCUAUAGCUUUAUUCAAAGAUUGGAGACAGGAUAAAAAAGUAUAAAACAUUUUACAGGACUGGAGAUAAGCAGGUUCUCAGCUAGAGGAGAUUCUGCUGCCUCUUCCCCUCCAC